rnacentral:rRNA from 1 species
GCUAUCAUGCAGUCGAGCGAACAGAUAAGGAGCUUGCUCCUUUGACGUUAGCGGCGGACGGGUGAGUAACACGUGGGUAACCUACCUAUAAGACUGGAAUAACUCCGGGAAACCGGGGCUAAUGCCGGAUAACAUUUAGAACCGCAUGGUUCUAAAGUGAAAGAUGGUUUUGCUAUCACUUAUAGAUGGACCCGCGCCGUAUUAGCUAGUUGGUAAGGUAACGGCUUACCAAGGCAACGAUACGUAGCCGACCUGAGAGGGUGAUCGGCCACACUGGAACUGAGACACGGUCCAGACUCCUACGGGAGGCAGCAGUAGGGAAUCUUCCGCAAUGGGCGAAAGCCUGACGGAGCAACGCCGCGUGAGUGAUGAAGGUCUUCGGAUCGUAAAACUCUGUUAUUAGGGAAGAACAAAUGUGUAAGUAACUAUGCACGUCUUGACGGUACCUAAUCAGAAAGCCACGGCUAACUACGUGCCAGCAGCCGCGGUAAUACGUAGGUGGCAAGCGUUAUCCGGAAUUAUUGGGCGUAAAGCGCGCGUAGGCGGUUUCUUAAGUCUGAUGUGAAAGCCCACGGCUCAACCGUGGAGGGUCAUUGGAAACUGGGAAACUUGAGUGCAGAAGAGGAAAGUGGAAUUCCAUGUGUAGCGGUGAAAUGCGCAGAGAUAUGGAGGAACACCAGUGGCGAAGGCGACUUUCUGGUCUGUAACUGACGCUGAUGUGCGAAAGCGUGGGGAUCAAACAGGAUUAGAUACCCUGGUAGUCCACGCCGUAAACGAUGAGUGCUAAGUGUUAGGGGGUUUCCGCCCCUUAGUGCUGCAGCUAACGCAUUAAGCACUCCGCCUGGGGAGUACGACCGCAAGGUUGAAACUCAAAGGAAUUGACGGGGACCCGCACAAGCGGUGGAGCAUGUGGUUAAUUCGAAGCAACGCGAAGACCUUACCAAAUCUUGACAUCCUUUGACAACUCUAGAGAUAGAGCCUUCCCCUUCGGGGGACAAAUGACAGGUGGUGCAUGGUUGUCCUCAC